ensembl:lncRNA
CUGGCUCAGCCUCUCCAUCUCCGUCCUGCUGAAGGUCUAAUACGUCGCCGCCUCGGAAAGGAGUCUUUAAAUGACGAACCCAUCACUGUGAAUAAAAAAGAAUUAUGCAUUAACCCAGGAGCCAUCUCUUGCAUCUUAUAAUCACCCCCUCCCCUCUCCUCCCCACUCAUCCCAGUCCCACCCGUCUUUGGCAACCACUGGCCACUGCCUCUCCCGCUUCUCCAGCGAAGGUCACCUUUUCAAUGUUCAUAGCUGUUGUGGUGAUGAUUGUUUAAAAAAAAAAAAAAAAAAAAACGCUAAAAAUGUGAAGGUGCCGAGCGGAACACGUCUUUGUCUCAGUCUGCACGUGCUGGAUCAUGGUUGUAUAUUUGUGAAUGCUGUCACAUUAAUGGUGUUUAUGAGGAAUGUGAUAUGAUAUAUAUGAUAUGUAUGAUAUAUAUGAUGAUGAUAAUGAUGAUGGUCAGGUGACCCUGUAAACAAGCUGUGGCUGUUCACCAGCAGGCCACGCCUCAGUGGCCUUCGCUCUCUCUCGGAUCUGAGCAGCAGAAUCUUUCUGUGAAUGAUGUCAAAUCUCAUCUGCGCUAAGGGUCAACAUUAGCAUGGGGAGGGAGGGGAUAAACUUAUUUGUCCUCCCUCUUUUUUUGCAUUCGCUGGAGGUCUUGACCCAGGGCAAAGCAUGUGACCCCAGUCUGGCCUUCCAGUCCUUCCUCAGUCUCAUCACAUUACCACAUUACUACCUUCACCCUCGGUGUAAAUAUAUAUGCAGUAGAGGCCACCCCAUUAUAUAAUUCCAUAUACACCAUCCGAUUUACGGACUACAUUUCCCAUCAGCCUCUCUGUUUCAGGAUUUUUGGCUUGGAGGUUAUGUUUCUGGUGUCUCCCCCUAACCCCAACACAACCAAACCCCCACCCCCCACCCCGACCCCACCGAAGCCGUCGAUCACUCUUCCUUGUCGCUUGUUGAUAGCAUGUACUGGUUAGAGCUGUUCCUGUUGUGCCGUCCAUCCAAGCCCGAGCCCUCUCUAUAGCCCCUGCACUGUGUACAUUUAAUCUGCAAGGUUAACUGCUAAUUGCUUUUUUUUUUUUUUUGGUGUUAAUAAUGAUGAUGAUGAUGAAGAUGAUGAUCAUUAUGAUGAUAAUAAUAAUGAUGUUAAUUAAGUAUUUGAACUCAAUAUGAUGGUAAUUACAUGUGAGAAAAAAAAUAUUAUAAUAAUCCCAGAGCCAUGUGUGCGAAAAUAUUUUGUACUUUGCUCUGAAAAAAAAAAAAAUUAAUAAUAAUUAUAAGGUUUUUUUUUUUUUUUUUCAAAGUGUUGUGCUCUAUUUUGCCAUGAGAACCUUUUAAAAAAAAAACAAAAAAAAAACAAGGUGAUGAGCUGGAGUGCAGCAAAACACUGCUUUGAAUUAGCCCCGACUUUGUUAUGCUAGCAUGCCACGAUGCUAGACUAAUUUAACCAGAUAUUUGACAAACGUAGGGUUUGCUGUGCAUCCGCACACUCACAAAGAGAGCAAUCAAUGAAAUGUACUAUAAUUUGUACCGUGUAUGUAUUCAACCGUUUCUUUUUAAGGCUCUGUACUGUAUCGAAUGUAUGCUAACCUUUAUGCUGUCCCACCGUUUUUUGCUGUAACAUUGUCAGCCAUCUUGCCGUCACAACCAAAAACUCUCGGCAUAUUCGAAAUCCCGUGUGCUCGCCCCCUUCGUACGUUACUUCCUUCCUCCAGCCGCUUUCGAGAGGGAGCCAAAUUAGUGGGGAAUAGAGACGUAAUUAGCGAGCGGAUCGCUAAGCGAGGGCGCCGUCGCUCUUCUCCUCAUCCCUCCAUCUGCUGAGGAGCAGAGCUCAUAAAUCUAGCUCAAUCCAGGCACUGACAGGGACCCUCUUCAAGGACGACAGUGUCUUGGUGGUGACUAAUUAACCACCACUUAAAGGCGCGUAGAGAAGACGCUGCGACCAUGUGCUCGGCGGCGCAUGGCUUAACAGUGAGCGCUGGUUUCCGCAUCGCGUAUGCCGUAUGCAAGCUCUUACAUUCAUGGACAAAAAGCACGGUUAGGAGCCGAUCAUUCAGUCACGUAAGUGCUGUAUAUAGCAUGUUUUGACAUCGUUGUGUCCCCAUAGCUAAUUUUGUCAAAUCCAGCAAUAACCAAACUAAAACGUAAAUGUAAAGAAGUAUCUAAUUGGCGUAAUCUGUUACGUGUUGACCGGAGUGCCAUGCUAAUCUAAUCCUGAAAGUGUUGUGUGAUAAAUUAAUGUCAUGUGUGUGAUGGAAGGAGCUCUGGAAGCGGAGUUUAAAGGUUGACCCGGCCUACAUGCUUCUCCAUACCCGUUCCAUCUCUCUCUCUCUCUUCCUCUCUCUCUCUCUCUCUCUCUCUAUCUACCUAUCCAUCUAUCUAUAUGGAUCUAUCUAUGGUGUACAAAUCCGUACUGUAUAGCCACAAUUGCAACACACACUUGCAUGUUUUUGAGAUCCCAUCCAAAAUUUUCUCAUUUGGGUUCAAUUUGAAGCACAAAACCGGUCCCAGUGCUAAUUUUUCUCUGUAUCUGUCUGUCCUUGUCCCUCUUUACUUGUUCACGACUGCGCCCGUGUAAAGCUCAAUGAUCCAUGGCAAACCUAUCUGUGCUCAUGUUUUCUCCUGAACAAUAAGUAAACAAACAAACAAACAAAAAAAAAAGAUAUGUCAUGUUUCUCAAUGUGGGUUAUAAAAAAAAAAAAAAGCAUGUCAGUGUUUUGUUAUGGGUGGAUUUUCCUUUUAAGAAAAAAAAAAAGUAUGAAUAUGAAAAGUGUGUGUGUGUGUGUGUGUGUGUGUGUGUGUGUGUGGGAAAGGUUGGCUUUAAAAUAUGGAAGAUUGAAGUGUGAUUUGAUAUGAGCUCCCCUGUAGAGAUGAGUGAUUGUGGGUUACCUGGAGGUCUGGUUUGGGAGGUGAAGAGAGGCAUGUGAGGCAGGAAGGGUGAGAUGGGCCAGCGCUGACCAGACACUGAACUCCCUCUGUAUGCAUGCGAUUAACUGGAAGGCAGCAGCUACAUAUCAGCUUGUGGAUCCAUUUUUUAUAAAGGCAGAUUGCGUCUAUUGAUUUUCCUGCCGCUUCGCUCUGCUGCUUAUGUCCACACAUUUAAAAUGCGCUUCAAUUCUAAUGUCCUACUAGUGUCCAAUAAUACUGAUGGAUACUACAUGCGUUAGUAAGAGGCUUCUAAUUCAUCCACAAACGCUGCAAUUAUUUUUUCUUUAGCCACAUGGACGCUCACAACAUAUCCAUGAGCUUCCUCAUGUCCAAUCAGGAGGCACUUGACCGUACAGGUGUCCAAUCAGGAGGUGUCUGGAUUUACACGCGUUCAAACAGGAGGCACUUGAGGUUGCACGUGUCCAAUCAAGAGGCACACAAGUGUCCAAUCUUGUCCCACUUUGCCUUAUAUGUGGCCAAUCAAGAGGUAAGUGCGUGCGCUUACAUCAGUCCAAUCAGGAGGAACCUGAGCUUGUACCCAUCCAAUCAGAAGGCACCUGAACAUUCCCUGCAGGACUUUGAAGAAAUGAUAUGUGUCUUAAUUUCUUUGUAGGAUAGUAAAAUAUCUCUGCUGUCACGAUUUUACAUUUCAAUUUAUUGAUUUAACAGCCAUCUUUUCCCAGAGUGGCUUUUUGCACAGACCGAACCAGUUCGUGGAAUGAAACCAAAAUCAGAAACGAAUUAAUGGUAAUUUGCUACGAACAAAAACGCAAAUAUAAACGUAAUCGUCCUUGUUCGGAAGCAUUCGUUUGAAUCUGUUACCAGUUAAUAACUAAAUAAAAAUGAAUUAUUUAAAAUAGUUUAGCCUUAUACGACAACAUUUUUCUACAUCUAUCUACUAUUUUAUCAUAUUAAACCUACAUACCGCCUCUAAAAAAUGAUAGGAAUGGACCAUUUUGUUCUCUGUUGGUUGUAAUGUUAGGGACGUUAUGCGGGGGUUAGAAGACAAUAAGGAAAAGGUUCUAAUACGUUUUUUUUUUUUAAAAGUUCUGCUCAAUGUAGUUUAGUGUUUCAUGACGCUUUAAGGUAUAAAUCUGAACAACUGAAGGUUAAGAGUAUUGCGUAAGGAUUUAAUGGUGCCUUGCUGAUAGUAAUGGGAAUUCGAACUGACAUCCUUCUGAUCACAGAUACAGCAGUUUAACCCUUACUGAACUGAGUAGAUUCAUUUUAUGUGAAUGCUUUAAACCAAACCUUUAAAUUUGUUUUUAACCAAAUAUAAGGCAUAAUGCUAAUUUAAUUAUAGAUAGAUAGAUAGAUAGAUAGAUAGAUAGAUAGAUAGAUAGAUAGAUAGAUAGAUAGAUAGACAGGCAGAUAGAUAGAUAUAUAGAUAGAUAGAUGGAUAGAUAGAUAGAUAGAUAGAUAGAUAGAUAGAUAGAUAGAUAGAUAGAUAGACAGACAGAUAGAUAGAUAGAUAGAUAGAUAGAUAGAUAGAUAGAUAGAUAGAUAGACAGACAGAUAGAUAGAUAGAUCGAUAGAUAGAUAGAUAGAUAGAUAGAUAGAUAGAUAGAUAGAUAGAUAGAUAGAUAGAUAGAUAGAUAGAAUUAUUAUGAAUGAGGUGUUAGGUGUUUUUUUUUUAAUGACUCAAUAAUAUAUAAGUUUCACUUUAAGGAGUUUGUAUGAAAAUCUCAUUUUAUCCGAUCAUCUUAUCAUAAUCUAUGGUCAUUUUGUUGCAUUUUGUAACAUUUGUAAAGUAAUAUUCAGAGGACACUAUAGAAAAUGGCAUAUUUUAAUGGUUUAAAUUCAAUAACUGAACAACAAGACAAUUAUUCAUUUGAGACGUAAUUAGUAAUACUUUGAGAAAUGUCAGCGCUUAUGGAUACUGUGUAUCUUGAAGUAAAGAUGAGAUCUCUGUGAGUUAGAAUUGGACACAACAAAAUAAACAUAAGGGUUUGUUUAUUUGUGUUUUUGUUGGGGUUUUUUUUUUUUUUUUUUUAGAAAUAGCAUAAUUCAGUAUCUUUUCAUAGAUAAGAACAGUUAUUGUCACAGACAGAUAAUGCAGAUAGAACAAAGAGAAAAGAUUCUUCUGAAAGAUAAAGAAAUAAAUAAACAAGGAAAGAUUGCUUUGAGAAAUAGAAUAAGGGAAUGGAUGGAUGGAUGGAUAGAUAGACGGACGGACGGACGGACAAACAGACAGACAGACAGACAGACAGACAGGUAGAUAGAUAGAUAGAUAGAUAGAUAGAUAGAUAGAUAGAUAGAUAGAUAUCUGCACGAUAUCUAGACGGACAGACGGACAGACAAACAGACAGACAGACAGACAGACAGAUAGAUAGAUAGAUAGAUAGAUAGAUAGAUAGAUAGAUAGAUAGAUAGAUAGAUAGAUAGAUAGAUCAUAUUAAAGUAAUAGUUUGGUCAAAAAUGAAAUUUACACAUUAACACAGAUGGAUUCAUUCAGCCGAGACAGUAGGGUAACAAGCUGCAACCUGUUCUUCAGUGAUGUCACACAGACUUAUCCAUGUGGGUUAGGACACAGACGACUGUUAUAAGCUAUACCAGACUUCAUCAACUGGUAGAAUGUCCAGAUACAGCUCCAGCAAAGUAUUUCUGUGGAUCAAACUGAGAACUCCAAAAAUACUGUAGCAGAGCCAAUCAGUGUACGGAAAAUAACUGGCUAUAGCUCAGUGAAAAACAAUGUUGUGUUGAGGCUUGUUGCAGCCAAUCACAUGCAUUUAUGUAAAUUACUUAGUCGAAGGCUGUUCAUCAAGAAGAGAAACUAUUUUGGCAGACUUUCAUGGAUUUUUCGUUUGACUUACCCUGUCUGGUCUGAUUAGUGAAAUGUCAGCAUGGCUUGUUCAAAACCAAACCAAACCAAACAAAACAACAUUUAAAGACGAGAAGAGAAGCAUGCAUUUAUUCUUUUCUCCAAAGUUCAAAACAGACAUCUCAGCUACGGUAUUAGUCAGGUGUGGCGCUAGUCAAAUGUGGAAACGUGAACUGCCAGUAUGAAACAAAACAUAACCCCUCUGAUGUGUUUUGAUUAUAACUAUGAAUUAAUCCUGAAUAAUUAAUCAUUAAAAGGUAACUUUUAUCACCGUUCAGUCAUGUUACUCGUGCGUAAGCAAGGAAAGAAUAAACAAAACUUCACUGUUUACCCAAACACUGUAACAUUACUGUAUGAGAGAUUAAACGUAACAGCAUUAAUGCCAUGGAAAGACUUCACGAUGAUACAUUGACACACAGGGUAUACAUAGACAUACUAACGAAGGGCUAACACAAAAUAGGUGAUCACACUUGGGUAACAAACUAAUGAUGGGGCAGGGGGUGGAGUCAGGAAUGGAAUAGAAACCAUCGACAAACAUGAGCACAAGGCAUUUAUGGCAUGGAAUGGAAGCUGUUACAGGUGCUUCUUGGGUCGUACCUCAGAAAGAUUAGUAUGCAGACGACACAUUAGUUAGAGUUUGAAUUUUAACGUACAAACACAUGCGCCGGUAUUUCUGCUACUUUACAAACUUGAAUAUCUUGGCAUCUGUUUUGGAAAAGGAUGUUGGAGGAAAGACUUCCAUCACUUGUAAACAACAUCACCUGUAUAAUUAUUGUAGCUGCACGAAGUAAAGAAGCAAAACGCUGGACGUCAAACACGCCUCGGGUGAAUCAGGGUGUGGGUACAAAUGUGUAAAUUUCAUUUUAUGCUAAACUAUCAAUCUCCAUUUGAUGUUUAAUUAUCCUGCAAAUUAUGAAGCGUUUGUGUGCAUAAGGUUUUGACGCAACAGGUGCUGCUUGUCAGUCGUGUACAGCUGUAUUGAUAGCACGCCGCUGAUUAUCUGAGCAUAAUUCAGUAGGUGUAUUAAACGAGACGUUCGUAGCCGAGGCCGUGUGUUUUCCUCAAAGCAGGAGGCGUAAGAAGCAACUCCGCUGUGCACAAACAAGCCCGGUACUCUUGGGUAUCGGCGGAGAUUGUCGUACACCCACUGGAAGCUGAAAUUUCUGUCAGUCAAAUGGGUGAACACAAGCUGUGGCAUAGCACUUUGGUAGUGUUUGGAUUGAAAGCGCUUGAUGUAACGUCACAGGUUAAUGGUGACGAGGUCGGUCAGUGAUUCGAGCCUAUCUCCCUCUCUCUGUGCACUUUGCCUCUUCCUCUUCUCCUCCACGCCUCGUCCUCCUCUUCUCCUCUGGAAAUCAGAUGUAAUGCCAUGAGCACCUCCAGCUCUCCAUUCCGGUCCUUCUGUCGUAUUAAUGUGUGUGUUUGGACGUGUGUGUGUGUGUGCAUAUAAUGUACAUGCAUGUGAGGGCGUGUGUUCUCUGACCUUGAUUGAUCAUGACCUACUUCACAUUCCAGUUCCCCAGACAAUUCAGUGUUUUCUCUGCAACAUCAACGGGAAAAAAAGAUGGAAAAUCCAGAGCAUUGUCUUCCACCUUCGACGAAUCCUGUGCCGUGUUCCAAAUCAUGUUUUAGAUUUUGUCUGUGUUUUGUCAUUUUAUUGUGUCUGGAUUUAUUUUUUUGUUUGUUUGUUUUUUUUUUUCUUUCUCCAAAGUCCAUAAAGGAGAGAACAAAGUGAAGGAAUUAAACAGAAGGGGAGAAAAUAAAACCGAAUUUUGUUUUUAACAUAAUCUGAUGCUUGCCUCGUUGUUUUCCCGUACGCUCGUCUGUCAUGGUUAUUCGUAGACAGGAAGAGAGACGCUUAGGUAAGAUUCUGAUGCGUCCGAGAACGUUUCACACUUGCUGACGGUGGUUGUUUUGCUUUGACAAAGAAGUGCAUCACGUGUACAGACUGAGUGGAGUACAGACAUUGGCAAGGACAGUUCAGAUC